GGAUGUGAGGGCGAUCUGGCUGUGACAUCUGUCACCCCAUUGAUUGCUAGGGUUGAUUCAGCUGAUCUGGCUGGCUAGGCGGGUGUCCCCUCCCUCCCUCACCUCUCCAUGUGCGUCCCUCCUGAAGCUGUGUGCUCAGUGGCAGAGGACGGCCUUCCCCGAAUAGAGACAGACAGGUCUUCGGUAGAGGGUAUAUGAGCAGCUGCGCUCCCCUGCUAGAACCUCCAAACAAGCUCUCAAGGUCCAAAUGGUAGUGGGCCUUGUAGAAAUAAAGUUUAUGUCCUGGGACACUGUAAGACAGUGCAUGCUGUGCUGCUUU
ensembl:misc_RNA 7SK 7SK RNA